rnacentral:misc_RNA from 1 species
GGGCUUUGUAGCAAUAUAGAGUCCUAGUGGCAAACGGGUGCGUAACACGUGGGUUUACCUACCUCAAAGUGGGGAACAACAGACCGAAAGGUUUGCUAAUACCGCAUGUGCUCAGCAAUGAGUAAAGUCGCAAGACGCUUUGAGAGGGGCCCGCGUCCCAUCAGGUAGUUGGUGAGGUAAUGGCCCACCAAGCCGAGUGACGGGUAGCUGUUCUGAGAGGAAGAUCAGCCACACGGGC